CCCCUCUCAGGAUCACAGCUGGAGAGUUUUUAGUACUCUAUCAGUCUCGACUAAGGGAGGGGGAGUGAAGCAGAGGCCUAUCCAUUCAAUUUCUAGCUUGGGGAGUGGCUAGCUAGUGGAAGACAAUCUGCUACAAGU